UUGCUUGCUUUGGCAGCACAUACACAAAAAAUGGAACGAUACAGAGAUCAGCAUGGCCCCUGAGCAAAAAAUGACACGUAAAUUCGUGAAUCGUUCCACAUUUUU
ensembl:snRNA U6 U6 spliceosomal RNA